ACACAGAGCGCUGGGUCUCACCCCCAGGAUUUCUAAUUCUGAAGACUGAGCAGAGACAUGGAUUCGCAUUUCUAGCAAAUUCUAACGCUCUUGGCCCAGCCAACCUCUCAGGGAACCAGCUUUCUACACCACCUGGCACAACUGUUCCUUAUACAUUUACAAGAGUGAUGAUAGCUCUUCCUGGCUGAUCCCCUCACAAAUCCCGAAGCUCUCCACUACCUGCUCAAACGCAUCAGGAGAGUGAGUCACAUGGCGUCAUCUCCCUUUGUGAACCAGGGUGGACUGUCGCAUGUUGACAAUAACAUCCAUUUUGUCCCGGCGGAAUGGAUCAAGGAAAGUUCUGGACUUUGAUCAUGCAUUUGCAGCUUGUGUGGAACUGGGUCCCUCACCUCAGUAACAUCCG